CUCCAAAAUAUUACCUGCAAAGCGACCUAUUUCAGAGCGCCUAAAUAUGUGACUACGGAGAGGACAGCCACUCUCAACGUCAACUAUCCACCAAGGAACCUACACUUCAGCGGCCACCUUAUACGCCCCAAUGGCGAGGUGCAGUACUUCACAAACAUCUCCCAGAUCGUUCCCCGGGAAGGCCAUUCUCUCGUGGUUAGUUGCGAGGCGGACAGCAACCCGCAGAGUUUCGUGAGAUGGAAGCUGAAAUUCCCGGGAACUCGCCUCCACAUAUAUAACAAUGAACUGAGGCUUUCGAACGUGACUUUGGAGGACGAGAGUAAAUACGAGUGCCAGGCCAGCAAUGUCGAAGGUUACGCUGAGAAAGGGGUCUACAUCCCCAUAAAACAUGCGUGAGAAAAAGACUGGGCUUCACUGAGAUUCUGCUUAUUUAGAAU